UUAAUUAUUUGUUUUAGGCUCAGAGUUUCAAAAAUUCUAGAGUUUUGGUCUCUUUGGUAAGCGCUGAAAAACAGCAUCAAUCCCGCCCUGGGAUUGCCUACCAAAGGAAACGCUUAUAAUAUAGAUAAACAAUGGGUUUAAUGGGAGUUUUUACACUCUGUAAUGAUCCCUCCGCUGGUUCACCAACGGAGA
rnacentral:misc_RNA from 1 species